rnacentral:rRNA from 1 species
UACAGAGGGUGCAAGCGUUAAUCGGAAUUACUGGGCGUAAAGCGCGCGUAGGUGGUUUGUUAAGUUGGAUGUGAAAUCCCCGGGCUCAACCUGGGAACUGCAUCCAAAACUGGCAAGCUAGAGUAUGGUAGAGGGGUGGUGGAUUUCCUGUGUAGCGGUGAAAUGCGUAGAUAUAGGAAGGAACACCAGUGGCGAAGGCGACCACCUGGACUGAUACUGACACUGAGGUGCGAAAGUGUGGGGAGCAAACAGGAUUAGAUA